AUUGAUUUUAUGCUUGCAUAAAUGAUUUUUGGAUUCGGAGCGAGUGGCGAACUGGUGAGUAACACGUGGGUAACCUGCCCCGAAGCGGGGGAUAACAUUUGGAAACAAGUGCUAAUACCGCAUAAUUAGUUGGAACCGCAUGGUUCCAACUUGAAAGAUGGCUCUGCUAUCACUUUGGGAUGGACCCGCGCCGUAUUAGUUAGUUGGUGAGAUAAAAGCCCACCAAGACGAUGAUACGUAGCCGACCUGAGAGGGUAAUCGGCCACAUUGGGACUGAGACACGGCCCAGACUCCUACGGGAGGCAGCAGUAGGGAAUCUUCCACAAUGGACGAAAGUCUGAUGGAGCAACGCCGCGUGAGUGAUGAAGGUUUUCGGAUCGUAAAACUCUGUUGUUAAAGAAGAACAAGUGUUAGAGUAACUGUUAACACUUUGACGGUAUUUAACCAGAAAGCCACGGCUAACUACGUGCCAGCAGCCGCGGUAAUACGUAGGUGGCAAGCGUUGUCCGGAUUUAUUGGGCGUAAAGCGAGCGCAGGCGGUUUUGUAAGUCUGCUGUGAAAGCCCUCAGCUCAACUGAGGAAGUGCAGUGGAAACUACAAAACUUGAGUACAGAAGAGGAAAGUGGAACUCCAUGUGUAGCGGUGAAAUGCGUAGAUAUAUGGAAGAACACCAGUGGCGAAGGCGGCUUUCUGGUCUGUUACUGACGCUGAGGCUCGAAAGCAUGGGUAGCGAACAGGAUUAGAUACCCUGGUGGUCCAUGCCGUAAACGAUGAAUACUAGGUGUUGGAGGGUUUCCGCCCUCCAGUGCCGCAGCUAACGCAUUAAGUAUUCCGCCUGGGGAGUACGACCGCAAGGUUGAAACUCAAAGGAAUUGACGGGGGCCCGCACAAGUGGUGGAGCAUGUGGUUUAAUUCGAUGCUACGCGAAGAACCUUACCAGCUCUUGACAUCUUCUGCCAACCCAAGAGAUUGGGCGUUCCCUUCGGGGACAGAAUGACAGGUGGUGCAUGGUUGUCGUCAGCUCGUGUCGUGAGAUGUUGGGUUAAGUCCCGCAACGAGCGCAACCCUUAUUAUUAGUUGCCAGCAUUUAGUUGGGCACUCUAGUGAGACUGCCGGUGAUAAA
rnacentral:rRNA from 1 species